AUUUUGGACAAUGGGGGGAACCCAGAUCCAGCCAUCCCGCGUGUAUGAUGAAGGCCUUCGGGUUGUAAAGUACUUCUGGCAGAGAAGAAAAGGUACCUCCUAAUACGAGGUACUGCUGACGGUAUCUGCAGAAUAAGCACCGGCUAACUACGUCCCAGCAGCCGCGGUAAUAAGUAGGGUGCAAGCGGUAACCGGAAUUACGGGGCGUAAAGCGUGUGUAGGCGGUUCGGAAAGAAAGAUGUGAAAUACCAGGGCUCAACCUUGGAACUGCAUUUUUAACUGCCGAGCUAGAGUAUGUCAGAGGGGGGUAGAAUUCAACGUGUAGCAGUGAAAUGCGUAGAUAUGUGGAGGAAUACCGAUGGCGAAGGCAGCCCCCUGGGAUAAUACUGACGCUCAGACACGAAAGCGUGGGGAGCAAACAG
rnacentral:rRNA from 1 species